rnacentral:rRNA from 1 species
GAAAUGGAGGCAACUCUGAUCCAGCCAUGCCGCGUGCAGGAAGACUGCCCUAUGGGUUGUAAACUGCUUUUAUACAGGAAGAAACACCUCUACGUGUAGAGGCUUGACGGUACUGUAAGAAUAAGGAUCGGCUAACUCCGUGCCAGCAGCCGCGGUAAUACGGAGGAUCCAAGCGUUAUCCGGAAUCAUUGGGUUUAAAGGGUCCGUAGGUGGAUAAUUAAGUCAGAGGUGAAAUCUUGCAGCUCAACUGUAAAAUUGCCUUUGAAACUGGUUAUCUUGAGUUAUUAUGAAGUAGUUAGAAUAUGUAGUGUAGCGGUGAAAUGCAUAGAUAUUACUUAGAAUACCAAUUGCGAAGGCAGAUCACUAAUAAUAUAUUGACGCUGAGGGACGAAAGCGUGGGUAGCGAACAGGAUUAGAUACCCUGGUAGUCCACGCCGUAAACGAUGGAUACUAGCUGUUCGGACUUCGGUCUGAGUGGCUAAGCGAAAGUGAUAAGUAUCCCACCUGGGGAGUACGUUCGCAAGAAUGAAACUCAAAGGAAUUGACGGGGGCCCGCACAAGCGGUGGAGCAUGUGGUUUAAUUCGAUGAUACGCGAGGAACCUUACC